rnacentral:rRNA from 1 species
AGACCCGAAACCCGGUGAUCUAGCCAUGGGCAGGUUGAAGGUUGGGUAACACUAACUGGAGGACCGAACCGACUAAUGUUGAAAAAUUAGCGGAUGACCUGUGGCUGGGGGUGAAAGGCCAAUCAAACCGGGAGAUAGCUGGUUCUCCCCGAAAGCUAUUUAGGUAGCGCCUCGUGAAUUCAUCUCCGGGGGUAGAGCACUGUUUCGGCUAGGGGGCCAUCCCGGCUUACCAACCCGAUGCAAACUGCGAAUACCGGAGAAUGUUAUCACGGGAGACACACGGCGGGUGCUAACGUCCGUCGUGAAGAGGGAAACAACCCAGACCGCCAGCUAAGGUCCCAAAGUCAUGGUUAAGUGGGAAACGAUGUGGGAAGGCCCAGACAGCCAGGAUGUUGGCUUAGAAGCAGCCAUCAUUUAAAGAAAGCGUAAUAGCUCACUGGUCGAGUCGGCCUGCGCGGAAGAUGUAACGGGGCUAAACCAUGCACCGAAGCUGCGGCAGCGACACUGUGUGUUGUUGGGUAGGGGAGCGUUCUGUAAGCCUGUGAAGGUGUGUCGUGAGGCAUGCUGGAGGUAUCAGAAGUGCGAAUGCUGACAUAAGUAACGAUAAAGCGGGUGAAAAGCCCGCUCGCCGGAAGACCAAGGGUUCCUGUCCAACGUUAAUCGGGGCAGGGUGAGUCGACCCCUAAGGCGAGGCCGAAAGGCGUAGUCGAUGGGAAACGGGUUAAUAUUCCCGUACUUGGUGUUACUGCGAAGGGGGGACGGAGAAGGCUAUGUUGGCCGGGCGACGGUUGUCCCGGUUUAAGCGUGUAGGUGUGUGUUCCAGGUAAAUCCGGUUCACUUUAACACUGAGGCGUGACGACGAGGCACUACGGUGCUGAAGCAACAAAUGCCCUGCUUCCAGGAAAAGCCUCUAAGCAUCAGGUAACAUCAAAUCGUACCCCAAACCGACACAGGUGGUCAGGUAGAGAAUACCAAGGCGCUUGAGAGAACUCGGGUGAAGGAACUAGGCAAAAUGGUGCCGUAACUUCGGGAGAAGGCACGCUGACACGUAGGUGAAGUGAUUUACUCAUGGAGCU